GACGAACCGAGCGAACGUUAUUCGGAAUCACUGGGCUUAAAGGGCGCGUAGGCGGGCCGUCAAGUCGAGGGUGAAAUCCCCCAGCUCAACUGGGGAAGUGCCUCCGAUACUGGCGGCCUCGAGGGGGAUAGGGGCAUGCGGAACUUCCGGUGGAGCGGUGAAAUGCGUAGAUAUCGGAAGGAACACCGGUGGCGAAAGCGGCGUGCUGGAUCCCUUCUGACGCUGAGGCGCGAAAGCCAGGGGAGCGGAACGGG
rnacentral:rRNA from 1 species